CAAAAACCAAGCUGCCUCCGGGCUCUGAAGGGGUUGGGGGCUUCAGGCUUCACACUAACUGUUUUCCAGGCACCAGAGGUUCCCAGCUGGGCCUUCCCCAGCACCCUUUUCCUGCAUGAAACCGUUCCUUUCACAGAGAUGAACCUCUUCUGUUUCGUCCUAACUUUCUACUCUGUCAUGCUCUUUGCUCGUCAACAUUUCCAGGCAUUCCUGAAGCUUCACAAAACACAGAGGGUAGAAGAGAGGGCUCUUGGAUGGGGUGGGCGAUUGUCCCAACCGCUCGCUGAUUCCUGUCAUCUGCAAGGUCAGCCGACUUAGAGAUCGCAGUCGGACGUCCUCCGCCGGGGCAGGUGGCCGGUGAGCUGGGAUGGCUGCCAUCUGGG
ensembl:lncRNA